rnacentral:rRNA from 1 species
UACGAAGGGGGCUAGCGUUGCUCGGAAUCACUGGGCGUAAAGCGCACGUAGGCGGAUUGCUAAGUCAGGGGUGAAAUCCUGGAGCUCAACUCCAGAACUGCCUUUGAUACUGGCGAUCUCGAGUCCGGGAGAGGUGAGUGGAACUGCGAGUGUAGAGGUGAAAUUCGUAGAUAUUCGCAAGAACACCAGUGGCGAAGGCGGCUCACUGGUCCGGUACUGACGCUGAGGUGCGGAAGCGUGGGGAGCAAACAGG